UCAACUAAAUAAAAUAAUUUCAUCACUCAAAUAAUCAACAUGGCUUAUGAAUUUCUUAAAAAUUUAGCUCGUGCCAAAACUCAUUCUCGGGGAUACCUUGGCCAGGGCAUCCAAUUGAGUCAGCCAAGGCUGUUAAAGAAAAGUUCAUAUACGCAUAAAACACAUUUUUACGUUUAAAAGCAUAGUCGUUCCUUGGCGUUGGCUGAGUUCACCCUCACGUGGUGGUUUAGCGUGUAGUAAACUCUAAAGCUUUACCUCAGGAGAUACCCUCUGCGCCUCUCGUACCGAGGUAAAAUAUAACCGGGUUUACCGUGCCCCUCUCUAAUAGGCUAGUCCACGAAAAUCCGCCACUACAGUGACUAAUCAAUAUCCCACCAAAUCAUUAAAAGUUUCGACAACAUGACAUGGCAAUUAUAUUACUACCCAGCCUGUCAAGGCAAAACAAACAAUUCAUACAAUUUCAACACAAUUUUCAAUUUAGCCAUUCAUGCCAAUAUCACCAUAAACCAUUCAAUUCAAACCAUAAAUUUACAACACAAUCAAACAAUCUUCAAUUACUCAAUUUCUAAAAUCAUCAUUCAAUUUUAAAAUGAUUUAUAAAACUCAUUUCAUUUAAUCACAUUUUACUUAUAAAACAUAAGGAUUUACCAUUUAAAUUCAUUUUUCUAUAAAAUCACAAAAACGAAUAAAAACUACUUUAGAUAAUUAAGAUGAUAAUAAGGUUACUCACAAUAUCGGGAGUCGAAGUACUCCUAGUCCUGGUCUUCGGGUACAAUCUCCUUUCCUUUAUCGGAAGUUUCAC
rnacentral:lncRNA from 1 species